rnacentral:rRNA from 1 species
AACAUAUUAAUGAGGGGCGGAAAAGAAACUAACAAGGAUUUUCUUAGUAGCGGCGAGCGAAAGGAAAUUUAGUUCAGCACUAAGUCACUUUGCCUUUAUGGUAAAUGUGAGAUGCAGUGUUAUGGAAUGUCAAAUUUCUGGCAUGAUGAAUUAACUAUUUAAGUCCUUCUUAAAUGAGGCCAUUUACCCAUAGGGGGUGCCAGGCCCGUAUAAAGUUAAUGAUUGCUAGAUGGCAUUUCCGAAGAGUCGUGUUGCUUGAUAGUGCAGCACUAAGUGGGUGGUAAACUCCAUCUAAAACUGAAUAUAACCAUGAGACCGAUAGCAAACAAGUACCGUGAGGGAAAGUUGAAAAGAACUCUGAAUAGAGAGUUAAAUAGUACGUGAAACUGCUUAGAGGUUAAGCCCGAUGAACCUGAAUAUCCGUAAUAUGGAAAAGUCAUUCACUAUGACAGUAAUAUUUUAUUAAUAUUAUGAGUAAUAGUGUGCAUUUUUUCCAUUAUAGGACAUUGUAAUCUAUUAACAUUAACUUACUAAUAUUUAUCAAAAGAUCAUUGGCGUAAGUUUAUUCAAAAUAUUUUGCAUUGGCAAUUUAAAACAGAAUAAAGCUUAUGAUUUGAUAAAGUGUUGAUAGAUUGAAUUCGUAUAUAGCGCUGAAAUAAUAAUUUAUUUUAUUAUUUUGAGUGGAUUGAAAAGUCAAUGAUUUUAAAUUCACUUAUGCGCUUAUAUGAUUUCAAUGCGAAAGAUUCAGGNNNNNNNNNNNNNNNNNNNGAAACACGGACCAAGGAGUCUAACAUAUUUGCAAGUUAUUGGGAAUUGGCGAACCCCAAUAGCGAAAUUAACGUAACUAUUAUUUUAUAAUGGGAUUAGUUUUUAGUCUUAUUUUAAAGGCUAUUGAUUCAAUCCCGGGGCGUUCUAUGCAGUUAUGUAUAAUAAUAUUUAUAUAUUAUUUGUACCUCUAACUAGAGCGUACCUUGAGCAUAUAUGCUAUGACCCGAAAGAUGGUGAACUAUACUUGAUCAGGUCGAAGUCAGGGGAAACCCUGAUGGAAGACCGAAACAGUUCUGACGUGCAAAUCGAUUGUCAGAAUUGAGUAUAGGGGCGAAAGACCAAUCGAACCAUCUAGUAGCUGGUUCCCUCUGAAGUUUCCCUCAGGAUAGCUGGUGCAUUAAAAGAUUUUGUGAAAUAAUCCUAUCUGGUAAAGCGAAUGAUUAGAGGCCUUAGGAUCGAAACGAUCUUAACCUAUUCUCAAACUUUAAAUGGGUAAGAACCUCACCUUUCUUGGUAUGAAGGUAGCGGUUGUGAUAUAAUGUGCCCAGUGGGCCACUUUUGGUAAGCAGAACUGGCGCUGUGGGCUGAACCAAACGUAAUGUUAUGGUGCCCAAAUUAACAACUCAUGCAGACACCAUGAAAGGCGUUGGUUGCUUAAAACAGCAGGACGGUGGACAUGGAAGUCGUAAUCCGCUAAGGAGUGUGUAACAACUCACCUGCCGAAGCAACUAGCCCUUAAAAUGGAUGGCGCUUAAGUUGUAUACCUAUACAUUACCGCUAGAGUAGAUGGCUUAUGUUCAAUUUCGAUUGGAUUAAUAAGCUUUGAAACUUUGGCGAGUAAGAGGGUACGAUGGUGUGCGUAGAAGUGUUUGGCGUGAGCCUGCAUGGAGCCGCCAUUGGUAUAGAUCUUGGUGGUAGUAGCAAAUAAUCGAAUGAGACCUUGGAGGACUGAAGUGGAGAAGGGUUUCGUGUGAACAGUGGUUGAUCACGAGUUAGUCGGUCCUAAGUUCAAGGCGAAAGCUGAAAAUUUUCAAGUUAUAAUGAAAAGUACCUUAAAGCAUGAACAGAUUUAUAAAAAGUGUACUCAGUAAUUAAACACUUGAAUAAUUUUUGAACGAAAGGGAAUACGGUUCCGAUUCCGUAACCUGUUGAGUAUCCGUUUGUUAUUAAAUGUGGACCUUGUGUUCAUCCUGGUAACAGGAACGACCAUAAAGAAGCCGUCGAGAGAUAUCGGAAGAGUUUUCUUUUCUGUUUUAUAGUCGUACUACCAUGGAAGUCUUUCGAAGAGAGAUAUGGUAGAUGGACUAGAAGAGCAUGACAUUUACUGUUGUGUCGAUAUCUUCUCCUCGGACCUUGAAAAUUUAUGGUGGGGACACGCGAACUUCUCAACAGGCCGUACCAAUAUCCGCAGCUGGUCUCCAAGGUGAAGAGUCUCUAGUCGAUAAGAUAAUGA